AACGAACGCUGGCGGCAGGCCUAAAACAUGCAAGUCGAACGAACCUUCGGGUUAGUGGCGCACGGGUGAGUAACACGUGGGAAUGUGCCUCUGGGUGCGGAACAACGUCGGGAAACUGACGCUAAUACCGCAUAAUGUCUACGGACCAAAGAUUUAUUGCCCAGAGAUCAGCCCGCGUCUGAUUAGCUAGUUGGUGAGGUAACGGCUCACCAAGGCGACGAUCAGUAGCUGGUCUGAGAGGAUGAUCAGCCACACUGGAACUGAGACACGGUUCAGACUCCUACGGGAGGCAGCAGUUAGGAAUAUUGGACACUGGGGGCAACCCUGAUCCAGCCAUGCCGCGUGUGUGAAGAAGGCCUUAGGGUUGUAAAGCACUUUCGGCUGUGAAGAUAAUGACAGUAGCAGAAGAAGAAGCUCCGGCUAAAUUCGUGCCAGCAGCCGCCGCAG
rnacentral:rRNA from 1 species